UUCCUGGUGGCUCAGAUGGUAAAGAAUCUGCCUGCAAUGCAGGAGACCCAGGUUCAAUCCCUGGUUUGGGAA
rnacentral:tRNA from 1 species